GAUGAACGCUGGCGGCGUGCCUAAUACAUGCAAGUCGAGCGAACAGAUAAGGAGCUUGCUCCUUUGACGUUAGCGGCGGACGGGUGAGUAACACGUGGGUAACCUACCUAUAAGACUGGAAUAACUCCGGGAAACCGGGGCUAAUGCCGGAUAACAUUUAGAACCGCAUGGUUCUAAAGUGAAAGAUGGUUUUGCUAUCACUUAUAGAUGGACCCGCGCCGUAUUAGCUAGUUGGUAAGGUAACGGCUUACCAAGGCAACGAUACGUAGCCGACCUGAGAGGGUGAUCGGCCACACUGGAACUGAGACACGGUCCAGACUCCUACGGGAGGCAGAAGUAGGGAAUCUUCCGCAAGGGGCGAAAGCCUGACGGAGCAACGCCGCGUGAGUGAUGAAGGUCUUCGGAUCGUAAAACUCUGUUAUUAGGGAAGAACAAAUGUGUAAGUAACGGUGCACGUCUGGACGGUACCGAAGCAGAAAGCCAUGGCUAACUAAGU
rnacentral:rRNA from 1 species